GGCCCGGUAGCUCAGCCGGUUAGAGCGCUAGCCUGUCACGCUAGAGGUCGUGGGUUCGAUCCCCAUCCGGGUCGCCA
rnacentral:tRNA from 1 species